rnacentral:lncRNA from 1 species
CUAUAAGCCAAAGAAUAAUACUGUCAGAGGCGUUCAAACUAGAGCGACCCCAUUUUGAGUGAGGGCUAGGAAAAUGAGGCUGAGACUUGCUGGGCUGCAUUCCCAGAAAGUUAGGCAUUCCUAGACUCUGGAUGUUUAUGGUUAAGGGAACAGAUUAAUAAUGUUUACUAAAACAGACCCAGACUUGGGAGUGUCCAGAUAUCCCGAUAUCUGCAUAACAAAGGCAUUCCCAAUAUUGCUUUAAAGAAAAUAAUACCGUUUCUUGCAAAAUACAGUAUUUAAUGAAAUUAAUCCUUUAUCACAAACCCUUGUAGCAGAACACAUCUCCCCAUAUAUGCAAUCAUUGUACCUAGGGUGGAUGCGUUCUUCCUCUUACUUUCAGGUACAUCCCACUCUGUCUAUGGAGCAGCUGUCCUUUCACCACUUUACUUUCUUAAUGAACUUGCUUUUGCUUUGCACCGUGCACUUGCCCUGAAUUCUUUCUUAUGCAAGAUCCAAGAACCCUCUCUUGGGGUCUGGAUCGGGAUCCCUUUCCUGUAACAAUGGUAUUUGCACAAAAAUUCUCAGAAAUUUAGCAAGGCUUACUAGGUAUAAACUGACAAGAACAAUUAACUAGCACUCCCUUUCCCACUAUGAUUAGUUUAUGAAACAUUUCAAACAUACCACAAGUUGAAAGUACUUUACAGUGAACACCCAUAGGGCUACGCCAUUUGUUGUUAACAUCUUAUUUUAUUAGCUUUAUUUCAUAUCUAUACAGCAAUUCUUCUAAAGUUCAUCACCUAACAAAUAUUUUGUAAUGCAAUUCAAAGCAAAUGGCACUUUCCUCUACAUACUUCAGAUACACUAUUAACCAGAAUUGGAUGUCUGUUUGUCGUAUUUUCUUUUAAUAUAAAACCUACAACAAAAUGGGCAACGUUUAAGUAUAUAUUUGCUUAGCUAUGACAAAUUAAUAUUCUUGUAUAACCAAUAACCCUAUUAACAUCUGUAAUAUUACCAUCCUUUCCUAGUUAAUCUCUACCUUCAUUCUUUGAGGCAAGCACUGUCCUGAUUUCUUUAUACCUAGAUUAGUUCUGUCUAUUCUAGAAUUUGAUAUAAAUAGAAUCAUACAGUACAUACUCCUUGAGUAAGUCUUCAUUUACUUUGCAUCCUGGGUUAUUUCCGGUUUAUGCCUAUUAUGAUAAAGUUAAUAUAGAGAUAGGUUCAUAGGAGCUACUGUGAUGAUGAUUGUUAUUAACAGAGUAGACUCUGGUGAUUUGAUUUUCAGGCAAAAGACACGAGACAAGUAAGGAACAGGUCAAGGGAGGAAUGGAAUGGAGAGGCACAGAUCCUCAUGAGAAAAACUUUCUUGUCAGAUAUGUUCAGAACAGAUAACAUAAAUUAGGUAGCAUUUUUCUGAACUCAUGAACAUAAAUUAUCCUGGCCCCUACUUAUUAUUGCCUGAAAGGAUUUUGUCAGAAAGAGCAAAAACAAUAAUAAUAAUAAUUAAUAAUAACUUAGCCAGGUAUGGGCAUGUGCCUGUAGGCCUAGCUCCUCCAGAGGCUGAGGCAUCAGGAUUGCCUGGGCUUGAGUCCAAGGGUUUGAGGCUGUAGUGAGCUAUGAUCACACCACUACACUCCAGCCUAGGAGAGAAAGCAAGACUCUGUCCCUUAAAAAGAAAAAAAGAAUAAAAGAAAAAAAAAAAAAGAAGAAGAAGAAAAUAGAUGCUAGUGAGUGUUGAAGACUAUGGAGCAGGAAAGUGUGGAGUAUGUCAUUCAACUCCUACUUGAGGUGUGCUGCCGCAGUAGGGGAGGGCUUUCCACGAAGCCUUCCUACCUGCAAAGUGUUUCCUAUAGUUAGAACAAUCCUAACGACUGCCUUUGGAACAGGCUUUUGUCAACGAAUUACCAGAAAACUCCAAAAAGGCUUGGCCACUUAAGUGUUGGGGAACUUACGGGUCCUUUUGAUGUCUGCUCUUGGCAUGCCAAACAGUAAUUCACACAAAGAUAAAAAGCAUUUACAGCACUCAAAGGCUAUUCUUAAUAGAUUAAAGCUCCAUAGCUGGUUCAAUGACAAAGGUCUUUCAAUAUAUAUUCUUUCUCCUCUAGAGUAAAUAUGUAAUCAUCCUGUGUAAAUAAUGAGAGAAAAUUACACCAGCAGAAAGGAAACAGGAGUUUUAUGAUUUGAAGGCAAAUGAAACAGAAUGAGAUGAAAUUAAAUGACCAAUAUCAUAGAGGGAAUAGACAUUUUGCUAGAAUAAAUUUAUCAUCCCCAAUAUACCUUUAUAGUUUAAAAAUGAACAGAUAUCUUUAUCAUAGGCUUAUGUUUUGUAGGUGACCCAGGUUUUAUUGACUUCUGAGACAGCCCUCCCCCACCUUGACUUCCUUCUGUUAGCUAUGACCAAGGUUGUCACACUAAGAAAAUUUAAAUAUUCUCUAACCUUGCAGGAGAAAAGUGGGGUAACAUUGGAAGGUAUUAUUAGUAAUCCAAGACAGGCCUAAAGCAUAGUCACAACCCUCAAGGAACUUAUAGUGUAGUACAGACUAAAUCAAUGCAAGAGGGACCUUGAAAAUUGUGAGGAAGUCUGACAGGACAAUCAAAAAGUGAUAAGGCAUAGACUUGAAGUGCAAUAGUAGGGUCAGUGGAAAGUCAAGCCUAAGGAACUGAUUAGACUUAAAAUAGGCCUUAGAAGAUAGGCAGGGCCUGACUAGGGUGAGAUAUAUAUAUAUAUAUAUCUUACACAUAUAUGCAUAUAUAUGUGUGUGUGUAUAUAUAUAUAUAUAUAUAUAUAGAGAGAGAGAGAGAGAGAGAGAGAGAGAGACAGACAGACAGAGGAGAGAGAGAGAUUGAGAUUUUACCGUAGAAGUUCCUAUAUUACUUCCUGCCAUUUCCAUGUACUCUGGAUAUUAAAUGUAAAAACAGGUGCAGUAUAUUUGUUUGAAGAGAUUAUUGGGUAGUUUAUUAACUUGGGUACUCAUUUUGCUCUUUGUACUAUAUGCCACCCCAAAUUUAUAGCCUUUGAAUAAUUAAGCAAUGUUUGUUUCUGAAAGACAUCAGCACCACUGUAGAGGGGGUAUUAUACACUUAAUAUUUCUUAUUAAACAUAUGUGUGAAAUGUUUGGGUCUCAUUGUUUUAAAGGUAGAAAGCAACUCUAGCCCUGACAUAGAAACUUUUUGUUGUUGUUGUUGCUUAAAGGAUUUUCCAUUAGAUAAUUCACAAAUUUAACAGUUAUGAUUACUUUUACCUAGAUGACUGUGUGGAUAUCUUGAAAGUUGUCUUCUGAGUUCCCUGACUCUUCUUUGAUCUGAGGUAGUUUUCCUGAUGUGCUAUUAAUAAGGAAGAAGGUGAGAAGAAGAGUGGUGAAGAUAAGAAAAUAUCAAACAACUAUUUUAGAACAAGUCUGAGUCCCUUCUUUAAAUUUGUUGUGUUGUAGUUUUUAAAUGCAGUCUAUGAAGUCAGUCAUUAAAUUAAAUGUGAUCAAAUAUGAAUCUUUUAUAACAAUUUUAUUAUCCCCUUAGAUUUUAUAUUUAUUGUUUUUGCUGUUGUUUGUUUAGGCAGUUAUCAAGAAUUUAAGAAAAGAAUUUUAUCUUUUAAAAGUGAAAUUAUAAUUUUUCACAAUGUUAGUAUAUGAGCAGAAAAGAACAUGUGCAACACUAUAUUAAAAAAGAAGAGUAUGAAUUAGAAAAAUAUUCCUAAUUUGCAGAGGUAAAUCUUUUACUCUUUCUAGUCCCAAAGUCCAAAUUCUUCCUCUAAAUCUUUGUUUACGCCGGGGACUUUGCCUAACAUAAUCUCUGUUUUUUAAUUUAAAAAAUGAGAAUUCUUGUACUAUACAAUCCUAAUAUUUCUUUUUAGUGUUAAUAUUUUAUUUUUAAUAUCAUUUAAGUUGUUAUAGAAUCUGACUAUGAAGUCAGAGGAUUAAAUACCAUGAGGUCAUAGAGAAACAAUGAGUUACAUGGUGCAAAUACCAAAACCACAAAGGAGCUGAUACAUUAAUUUUUUUCAUAUUUUGGCUAGAAUUAUAAUUUAAAGAGAGAUCCAAAUUACAUUAAUUUAUUUAAAUUUUCUUGUAUCAAUUUUGAAAUAUGUUAGCAUAGCAAAUAAAAUAAUACCUUAUUAUAUAACUUAUGUGCAGUUAAUUUGCUCCUAAAUUUCCCUUAUGUUAAUUGAUCUUUUCUGGGGAAAGAAGACAUCACCAGUUGGGCAUAUUUCCAUGGUUAUUUUUUUCUAAGGCAAAAAUUUUAUCUUGUGUAGUUUGAAUAUCUCUCACUCCUAAUAUCCCAUAGAGGCAAUGGUUUACUGGAAUAUUUAUUACAGGAAGGAAAAAGGACAUAAAAAUUCUUGUCGAAAUCUUCCUUUUCUGAAUUUAAACAAUUUCUAGUUACCAGGACUAGAAGUGCUAUAUAAUCUACUUCCAAAUGUCAACUACUCAGGACAUAAUUGGAAAGAUCAUAUAUCUAAUUCAAUGUUCAGUUACAUUUUAUUUGGACUUUGUAGUGCACAAUGUGAUGUGUCAGCAAUUGCUUUUCAGGAAUGAAGCACUUAGUUCCCUAAACUCUGAGAGUGCUACUGGAAGAUAGUCUGUUGUGAUUCACCCUUAUUGGGAAUUUUCUUGACUGAAGAAAACUACCUCAUCCAAAGCAACAAUCCCUUCCAUGGAUAGCCUGCAUCCAACAGCUCAUCAAUGGAAAGAUAUAAAUGCUUGCCUCCCUCACUCCAACUCAGCAUGAUUCUGAAGAACCAUUCUCAUUCAAAUGCUUACCAAGAAUUCAACUGGGGCCUUUAUUGAGAUUGUGACAGAGCUCAACCCUCCGCCCAAUCCAGCUUUCCUCCCUUCUCUUACACAGGAGAAAAGCUCAAGACACAGAUGUCCACACCCAACAACUAGCUAAUCUACUUUAAAUGCCAAAGAUGAAUACAAAAAAAGAAAAAGAAAAAGAAACUACAACUUUUAUCUGCAAUUUGACAGAGCAAAUUUUUAUGAAUGAAUCCAGAUGGCUACUCCAGUUGCCUUCCAGCAUAUGGACAAAGGUGAGAGUGAUUUUUUCUGAUAUGAUAUUCUGCUUUCUAGUUGGUGACAAAUAUUUUACCCCUUGAGAUGAAUUUUAAAAUCUUUCCCUUGGCCAGGUGCGGUGGCUCACGCCUGUAAUCCUAGCACUUUGGGAGGCCGAGGUGGGCAGAUUGACUGAGUUCAGGAGUUUGAGACCAGCCUGGGCAACACGGUGAAACUCCAUUUCUACUAAAAAAGAAAAAAUUAGCCAGGCGUGGCGGCGUGCACUGAUAGUGCCAGCUACUCGGGAGGCUGAAGCAGGAGAAUUGCGAGACUCCAUUUCCAAAACAAACAAACAAACAAACAAACAAAAAAACCCAUUUCCCUUUCUGGAUCAGAGCACAAAUGAUACAAUUUUUAAAAAAUACCUUGGUUUUCUUUCUUGUCUGUUUGCACAAACCUGCUUUCAACCUCAUGAUUGUUUCUUCCAAUUGAGAUCUGAUUGGCAAAGCCA